GACAGAGGGUGCAAACGUUGUUCGGAAUUACUGGGCGUAAAGCGCGUGUAGGCGGCUAAGUAAGUCGGGCGUGAAAUCCCACGGCUCAACCGUGGAAGUGCACUCGAAACUGCAUAGCUAGAGUCCUGGAGAGGAAGGCGGAAUGCUUGGUGUAGAGGUGAAAUUCGUAGAUAUCAAGCGGAACACCGGUGGCGAAGGCGGCCCACUGGAUCGGUACUGACGCUGAGGUGCGAAAGCGUGGGGAGCAAACAGG
rnacentral:rRNA from 1 species